rnacentral:lncRNA from 1 species
AUUUUAUCGGUUUUUAUCGAUUUUAUUAAUAUAAAUAAUUUUGCUUGUAUUCUUGUUUUAUUUAUUUGUUUCACUUGUAUGAUAAGAAAUUUCUUUCUUGAUGUUUUUGAUGUAUAAAAUUUGUUUUACUUACAAUUUAAUAUUGACCAUUGUGCGGGACGCUCACAACUGCGGGAACCGUGACUGUUGAUCCUCAAUCCUCUUACAGUGAGACUUCCAACAGGUUCUGGCGCUGAUCGUGUGUUAUCGAAUCCUAUUAUCCAGUUCUAUGCACAGAAAAGACCGUGUAAACGGCCCGCGGGAUUUUCUUUAUGGCCGGAAUCCGCGCGUCGACUCUAGCACGAUCUCGCGGUGUUUACUCGAUCUUACCGACAACUGGUAGACGCCAACUGAGUGCGUUUCCCCAAUCUUCCCCUUCGGACUGACAGGCUGGGUGGCUGACCCAGUACCUGCUGGCGGAAGGUUCGACUAGAGAACCGUGUCUCUUUAACAGUUAAGCACUGAUUCGUCGGAACGACACUCGCCAGGCGAGUGGUCCGCAACCGAAGGAAGCGAGUGUUUAACCGUUGUUACGGCGGUUCAACAACAGAGGAGAACCAGUCGUGGAUAUUUCCUCUUGUUUUUCCCUUCAGACGGACAGGCUGAUGUUUUAACCAGUACCUGACAGUGGAAGGUUCCAAUAGGGAGCUCUCUCUCUUAACGAUUGAAAGCUGACUCGUCAGAACGACACCCGCCAGGCGAGUAGUCCGCAACCGAAGGAGUCGAGUUUGCAAUCGUUGGUGAUAACCUUAGUGGUUGGACUUACCAGGAAUUUCUCUCUAGAAAGACGAGUUGCCUGUUCCGAGUCUAAACGUAAGAUCAUGUAUUUCGUGGUUGGUUCUGGGUUUUUAUAGGCGACUUUCGUCGAUCUGGGGGACUUAUUCUAAAAAGUGACAAAUGCAGUUCUAUCGUAGGUCCUAUUGAUUCUUAAAGUUAGAAAGGGACAAUUGUCGUGAUUGCCUAAAUCUAAUUUUCUCCCACGAGAAAGAAGCAAAGAGAUUUCAAUGUUUUAGGUUUUUUCUCGUAAGGUAUGUCUCUGAGUGCGUAGGUAAUAAAUUUCGAAUUUAAUUACUUUGUUUCUUUCGUUGCGUGGGAUGAUUACUUUCUAUGCGUGGGUUGACGCAGGGACAUAUUUGUUCUUGUUGCGCCUUACCAUUAGAUCAAUGCUUUCCCUUUCUCUUCGUUAUGACUCCUGUCCGCGUAUCAAUCGAAUGCGUCAGGCUCAGCGAGGGCCUGCGCUUUGUGCUUAUGACGGUUUGGUCAUACUGCUUGCUAUGGAAGGAAAUUGUUAACGAUCUUUGUUUUUAUGGCUUUCCCUUCCUUCUGAGUUGAUGGGGCAGUGCGCCUUUACUUUCUAAUGCUAAUGUUACCAUCUGUUUUUUGUGCUGAGUGAUGGCUCUGUCUGUUUAGAAUGCUAUAGGGGAAGGGAUCGGUAAGGUUCUAGUAUAUCCCUUCGCAUGGUUUGAGUUGCCUUCUUCUGUUUGUGGGUCGUAAAUUACGUGCUUAUUGGCUAGUUGUUUAAUUUCGUUUCUUCUCUCUGUCAUUGGUUCGCAUCCGAUCGCAAAUUAAUCGUCGCGAAUUAACACCGCCCUUCGUAAAAUCCUUAAUUUUACAAUAUUGUUUCCGCGACGUUAUGAUUGUUUAUGCUUGUUCUUUAAUUAUUAUAAAGGUUGUUAUUCUUGAGCUUACUUGCUAAAAAAAAGGAAAACAAUUGUCACAUGGUUACAUUGUAUUUUAAUAUCAAUAUCGUAUUUUUUUUUUUUUUUUAUAUAUAUAUAUGGUUUGUUUUUACUUAAUUUUAUUAUUCUUGGUCGUACAAUAGUCUUGUUGUAAAUGAUGAUGUAAAGAUUAUUUUUCAUAUAAUUUCUUACCAUGUGUGUAUUAUGAUUAUUUGAUGUCUUAUUUAGAAGUCACUAUAUUGCUCGGCCUGGGGUAGGGGCGAGGUCUGCUCUCGUUGUUUGAUUCUUCCUCAUG